rnacentral:rRNA from 1 species
AAACUUUACAAUGCAGGCAACUGCGAUAAGGGGACAUCGAGUGGCACGCAUAAUGGGUCUGUCCACCGUACGGGUGUAGCAAGGGCCGGCAAGACCGGUGCCAGCCGCCGCGGUAAUACCGGCGGCUCGAGUGGUGGCCGAUAUUAUUAGUAGUAAAGGGUCCGUAGCCGGCUUAGUAGUCUCUAGGGAAAUCCAGCGGCUUAAUCGUUGGGCUCCAUGAGAUACU